UUGAACGCUGGCGGCAUGCCUUACACCUGCCAGUCGCACGGUAACGGGCCUUCGGGUGCCGACGCGUGGCGAACGGGUGAGUAAUACAUCGGAACGUGCCCGAUCGUGGGGGAUAACGAGGCGAAAGCUUUGCUAAUACCGCAUACGUUCUACGGAUGAAAGCAGGGGACCGCAAGGCCUUGCGCGGACGGAGCGGCCGAUGGCAGAUUAGGUAGUUGGUGGGAUAAAAGCUUACCAAGCCGACGAUCUGUAGCUGGUCUGAGAGGAUGAUCAGCCACACUGGGACUGAGACACGGCCCAGACUCCUACGGGAGGCAGCAGUGGGGAAUUUUGGACAAUGGGCGCAAGCCUGAUCCAGCCAUGCCGCGUGCAGGAUGAAGGCCUUCGGGUUGUAAACUGCUUUUGUACGGAACGAAAAGCCUUCUUUUAAUACAGGAGGGUCAUGACGGUACCGUAAGAAUAAGCACCGGCUAACUACGUG
rnacentral:rRNA from 1 species